rnacentral:rRNA from 1 species
AUUGAACGCUGGCGGAAUGCUUUACACAUGCAAGUCGAACGGCAGCACGGGCUUCGGCCGUGGUGGCGAGUGGCGAACGGGUGAGUAAUGCAUCGGAACGUACCCAUUUGUGGGGGAUAACUACGCGAAAGCGUGGCUAAUACCGCAUACGCCCUGAGGGGGAAAGCGGGGGAUUCUUCGGAACCUCGCGCAAUUGGAGCGGCCGAUGUCAGAUUAGCUUGUUGGUGAGGUAAAGGCUCACCAAGGCGACGAUCUUUAGGGGGCCUGAGAGGGUGAUCCCCCACACUGGUACUGAGACACGGACCAGACUCCUACGGGAGGCAGCAGUGAGGAAUAUUGGUCAAUGGGUGCAAGCCUGAACCAGCCAUCCCGCGUGAAGGACGACUGCCCUAUGGGUUGUAAACUUCUUUUGUAUAGGGAUAAACCUACCCUCGUGAGGGUAGCUGAAGGUACUAUACGAAUAAGCACCGGCUAACUCCGUG